rnacentral:lncRNA from 1 species
UUUUUUUUUUUUUUUUAAUUUUAUUUAUUUAUUUAUUUAUUUUGCUUUUUAGGGCUGCACCGAUGGCAUAUGGAGAGUUACAGCUGCCAGCCUACACCACAGUCACAACAAUGUAGGAUCCAAGCCGUGUCUCUGUGGUGUAGGUCAUAGAUGCAGCUCAGAUCCCGUGUUGCUGUGGCUGUGGUCUAGGCCGGCAGCUGUAGCUCCAAUUCAACCUCUAGCCUGGGAACCUCCGUAUGCUGCAGAUGCAGCCCCAAAAAGACACACACACACACACACACACACACACACACACAGAGGAAUGGAACAGGAACACCAGAAGGAGAGCAGGGCAGAAGCUGCAGUAGGCCUGCUUGUCUCUGAGUCUGGAUGCAGGCAGAAGUGGCUAGAAAUCUGGGAUAACAGAUUUACGCAUAACUCCAGCUAUGGAGUGCUGGAUACAAAGCCUGGAGUUAGAGCUGAUACACUGCUGGAACCCAGGGGCUGGGAAAGUAGUCUGAAAACAGUUGCUGUAACCCAUUCCCUGGGGCUGGGGCUUAUUACAAAGAUGCUUACUUAGGGAGACAGGGCCUGGAGCUAAGCUAAGUUGCUACUGUAAGAUUUGAUUCUAGACCAGGAGACCCAGAGGACCUGGGGAGGCAAAGGAGAAAAUCCCCAGAUGAAGAAGGGAUGAGCUUAUAUACUCAGAAAUAUGAGGGAAACUAAUAUGAAAGAAGAACAAAAUCAGAGGAAAAUUUAUCCCCAAAGAAAUGAAAAUAACAGAGUAGUCAGAAAAUACAUUUAGUAGAAAUAGGUUAAGGAUCCUUGAGGCUAUCAGCGAAACAAGAAAUUUGUUAAAGAAAGGUAAAUUAUAAAAGAAACAAGAAUAUGUAAACAUGAAAACUUUACAUUAAAAAUUGUAGGAGUUCCCACGGUGGCUCAGCAGGUUAAGGACCUGACAUAGUCUCUGUGAGGAUGCAAGUUUGAUUCCCCAGCCCUGCACAGUGAGUUAAGGAUCUAGCAUUGCUGCAGCUGUGGUGUAGGUCACAGCUCUGGCUUGGAUUCAGUCCCUGGCCCUGGAACUUCCAUAUGCUGUGAGUGCAGCUGGAAAAGAAAAAAAAAGAAUGAGGUGAAAUAAAGAUAUUUCUGUACCUGCUAAGACAGUUUUAUUACCUACACGUCCUUGCUAGAAGAACUACUAAAGGUUUGUAUUUCAAUAAGGAGAAAACUUGGGGAGAGGAGCAGAUUGCUAGCAGCAAAACCAAGUGCAGAAAUUGAUGUGCGUUGGUAAAUUAACUGUAGACAGUGUAUCAGGAUGCUCACGUCACCCACAGGGACUUAAACUCCAGAAGAUAUUUAACUAGCUUGUAAUGAGAAGUUGGAGGGAGGGAGUUCCAAGUUUGGAGCAUUAGUCCAGUACUGACUUGAGGAACCCUAGGUCAUUCCAUUGUUCUUCUCUGCUGUCAUAAGGGUAUAAGAGCUCUCUCCUCAUGGUUGUAAGAUGGCUGCUGCAGCUCCAGGUAUUAUAUCACCUUAGAGCAUCCUAAGCAGGAAGGGUAGGAAAUGCUAAGAGAAAGGAAGCUUUCUAAUGUGCCUCUUUUCUGAGAAGGAGAAUCUUUCCAGGGAAGCCCCAGCAGACAUCUCAUGCUUCAUUGACCUGAGCUGGUUCAUCCUUAGACCAAUUCCUGGUAAAAUGGAACAGGCUUGUCUUAUCUCCUGGGACUGGGUUCUUUGCUGCCUGAACAAAAUCAGGAUUCUUUUGGCAAGAAAAAAGGGGGAAUGGCUGCUAGUAGGCAACCAACAGUGUCGGCCACAGAUGGCAAAACGCACUGAACAGAAACCCAGAAUCUAGUUUGUUUUAGUUUUAAAAUAGGAAAACUAAAAUCGUUGGCCACAUUAUCAAGGAAGAAUCAGGUAGAAUAAGGAAGGGAAUUUCAUUGUUAAAUCACAUCAAAUUUCUGCCUUGUUAAAGGGAAAUAGCAGUGCUGAAAACUGUAGACCUCAUUAGGAAAAUAUGUAUCUGCUAACAAUUUAAGAUAACCACUUUAGUUAGUUAGAAGAAAGAAUUUCCAAUCCAGAAGGAAAAAUAGUGGGAGUGGGGGUAGUGUGUCAAUCCAACACAAGUUAGGAAAAGAAAAGAGAACUAAAGAAAAAUUAGUGGCGUUCCUGUUGUGGUAUAGCAGAAACAAAUCCGACUAGUAUCCAUGAGGAUGCAGGUUCACUCCCUGGCCUCACUCAGUGCGUCAGGGAUCCAGUGUUGUAGUGAGCUGUGGUAUAUAGGUCGCAGAUGCGGCUUGGAUCUUGGAUCCCACGUUGCUGUGGCUGGGGCGUAGGCUGGCAGCCAUAGCUCUGAUUUAACCCCUAGCCUGGGAACCUCCAUGUUUCAUGGGUUCGGCCCUAAAUUUGAAAGAAAAGAAAAACUACCAGACUGAAUAAAAUGCAAAUAAGAAAUAAUCUGGAGAGGCUGAUCAGUAGGAACCUAACAGGAACUGCCCUUGCUUUUCUCACACAGGUGGUUCUUUGUUUUUAGACAAUUUUCAGUUCCCUGCCCCAUCCACCCACCUCUCCUCAAAGUUGAGCUUUGACUUGCUUUUUUUUUUUUUUUUUUGCCACACCUGCAACAUGCAAAAGUUCCUGGGCCAGGGAUCAAACCUGCACCAAUACUGGAUCCUUAAACACUCUCCACCAGGGAACUCCUGCCUUGCUAAUGAGAUAGUAUUGUUUUCCUAGACUGCUUUAUUCCUGCUGUAGAUGUGUAUAGCAAAUUCCUGGACUUCCCCCUCCACCACCCCUACACACCAAGAAACCACACUGGGACUCUUAAGGGGCAGGUUUGGAGCAGAGCUGGGACCCCAUAUCCCAGCUGUCCCCCUUCCCCAUGCUUCACAACCCAGCUUUCCUCCCCUUAGAGCCUGUUCCUUUGGGGGCAGCAUCCAUCCUCUUGCGAUGGAGACUGAUGGUUUAUUUCUCUGGGACUUCCUUGAAAGUUACCAGAGUGAUGAUCAUAGGAUGGAAGAAAUGCGUAAGUUCUCACUUUCUGAUUUCCUGCCUGCUAACUCUGGGCAGCGUCAGAAGUACCAGAGCUGAGAUCACAGACUGGACAGCAUGUCAGAGUGAGUGUCCUGCAGGAAGGCAGGAGCGCCUGAAGCAGAGGCUGCUGGAGGGAUCGUAAUUGACGAGCGUGGUAGACUGAGUCACUAGGGUAACAGUGAGGGGUUUAUGCCAGAGGCUGGCGCCAGCAGGUUGCAAUGUGAGGACUUCAGUUAGCCAAGCAUGUGGAAGUGAAGCAGCCAGUUUUCAGACACAUCGAGGACGUGCUUCUCUGGGCUUGAGUUGAGUAUAAGGGAGGGGCUGUCAGGUCUCUUCCUCCAGAUGAUGACAGGCACUCCAGGGCAUCUUCUGCCAGGGUUGGCUGUUGCCACACUCAGGAAGCAGGGCGUUUGCUGGGUUGUUAGGUUGGCAGGGUUCUGGGACACAGGGAACCUUCUGAUGGUUGUACUCCAGUUAGUGGAGAAAGCCUCUCUGGAUGGCAGUGAAUGCUUGUGGAAGGAGCACUGGCCUUGGAGCCAUCAGAUCUGGAAUGUAUUAACGCUCCGUCGCUUAUCGCCUGGCUGACCUCGUUUUGCUGUCUUGGGACUUCUGCGAAUACUGAAUGAGAGGCUAUGCCUGCAAAUGCUCAGAAACUCAUAAAGCAUCAUGCAGUGUGCGUACUAAUCUGUGGUUUGAUGCCUUUACACUGAGGCUCUGGGACACAUCCUCAGGCUGUGUGUCAGUGGGUAGAAAGAGGGUGCUUUAUCAGUGUCUCAGGCCGGGAUUUUUUUCUUUCUCCCCACCCCUUCCAAUUCAAGCAGCCUCCCUCCCUCCAUCCUCCGCGCCUUAUUUUGACAUUUCUUUUCUCUGCCUGCCAAGAAGAUUGUGUUCAGCUGUGCUGGUCUGAGGCUGUGCUAUCCUGUGCUUCGUUAGGUUAAUUCGAUGGCUUGUCUUCUGGGAACUGACUGGGGACUAGCUCUAAAACCCUGCUAGCCUCUAAAACCCAAUCCCCACUGUUUUCCUUGGGGCAAGCUUUGCCGCUGAAUCCCACACACCUUCGUUUUCUCUCCUCCACGCAGGAGCCGGCAAGGGCCUGCUUUGGCCCCACCUUGGUUCCUUGUAUUGGCAAAAUUGCUCAAGCAUGCAUCCUCUGAUUGGUAGAAGGCUCUAAGGGAGACCAUCAAAGCUGCCCCUGACCUUCUGGAUUCUGGUUGCUAGUUUCUCUGUUCAGCCUCAGCAUCUUAAACUUGACCAGCCAUUCAGGGGAUAUUUGUUGUUAAAUGGUCUCACCAUAUUUGCUAAAUUUGUGACCACAAACCUCUUGGAAGACCCUAGCAUUGCCUACCACUAAAUUUCCCUCAUUACUCCCCUUCUCUCUUAGAGGACCAUUCACUCCUGUUUUCUGUAAUCCUUCAGCCCCAGCAUCAAAGGUGUGUCACUCCCUGUGCCCAUGCUUUGCUUCACCUCCUGCUAUACAGGUCGACCUCCAUGUGGGCACUGCCUCUCCCUACCUCUUGCUCUGUUCUUGCUACUUAAGGACUUGCUUCGUAAUUAUCCUCUUUUUUUUUUUUUUUUCUACAGCAUUAACCUCUCCCUCUUCUGAACCAUCCCCACCAGCAUUCUGUAAUAUUUCCCAUUCCACUUUAUCUCAUUCCCCUUUUUUGGUAACACCUUUAUUGAGAUAGAAUUCAUGUUCCAUGCUCUUCAUCCAUUUCAGUUGUACAAGUCAGUUGGUUUUAGUUUAGUCACAUGGUUAUGCAAUCCUAGACCACAAACAAUCUUAGAACAUUUCAUCACCCCAGGAGGAAACUCCAUACCCAUUACCAGUCACUCCCCAUCUCUUCCAACCCCUAGCCCUGAGCAAUUACUAAUCUACUUUAUGGAUGUGUCUAUUCUGGACAUUUCAUAUAAAUGGAAUCACAUCAUGUGUAGUCUUUUGUGUCAGGCUUCUUUCACUUAGCAUCAUGUUUUCAAGGUUCAUCCAUGUAUCAGUGCUUCAUUUCUUUUUAUGGCUGAAUAAGAUUCCAUUGUAUGGAUAUUAGAUGUUUUGCUUACUCAUCAGUUGAUGGGACUUGGAGUUCUUUCCACUUUGGAGCUAAUAUGAAUAAAGCUUCUAUCAUUUGUGUAUGUAUUUUUGUGCGGAUAUAUAUUUCUCUUGGGUGUAGACCUAGGAUUAAAAUUGCUGAGUCAUAUGUUAACUCUGUUUAAUCUUCUGUCUGCCAGACUGUUUUCCAAAGAGGCUGCGCCAUUUUUCAUUCUCACCAGCAAUGUAUGAGGGUUACAAUUUCUCCAUCUCUUCCUUAAUACCUGUUAUUAUCUGUCUUUUUGAUUAUAGCCAUCCUUGUAGGUGGGAAGUGGUAUCUGAUUGUGGUUUUGAUGUGUAUUUCCCUGAUAGCAAAUGAUGCUGAGCAUCUUUUCAUCUGCUUGUUGGCCAUUUCUCAUCCAGUCAGAUGUUUGCCCCUUCCAUACUUUUGGAUCAGCCACUGUGAAGGUCACUGCUGACAGCCUUCUCUUAUCUAUGUCAGACCUUCCCUCGAUAAUUUCUUCUGGUCCUGUAGUUUUAAAAGUGAACUGUACUCAGGUGACUCUCAAAUGUAUCCCUCCAGCUCUGACCUCUUCCAUGAGCCUUAGACAUCUGUGUCCUGCUGCCUGUUGCCAUUUCUACAUGGACUGUUAAAGGGCAUCUCAAAUUGAACCUGUCAUCAACAGAACUCUUGCUUUUUUUUACUCCUGAAAACCCAUUUCUCUCCUGACUUUUCUGCAUGAAUGAAUGGCAUCCCACCACCAGGUUGCUCAGGCCACAAGCUGAGUCCUGAUUUGGUCUUCCCUGCCCACCCACCACCCUCCAUCUAGCCCAUCCGUUAAGCCCUUCACAAUACAUCCAGCUACUUCUCACCACCUCCACUGCCUGGGUUUUUGAAGUAGCUCCUCUCUGGUCCCCGGCUCAUCUUACACAGCAGCCAGAGAAGUUCCUUAGCAAAAAAAUAUUUUAACCUAAAAACUAAAACAAAUUAGACUUUAUUGUGAAAUGCAUCACACAUUCAGAAUAGUAUAUAUCGGAGUUCCCGUCGUGGCACAGUGGUUAACGAAUCUGACUAGGAACCAUGAGGUUGCGGGUUCGGUCCCUGCCCUUGCU